rnacentral:tRNA from 1 species
UGUAGGAUAGCUUAAAUUAAAGCGGAGCACUGAAGAUGCUUGAAUAGAUAUUAUCUUCUUACAG